GGUUGCGAUCAUACCAGCACUAAUACACCGGAUCUCAUCAGAACUCCGCAGUUAAGCGUGCUUGGGCUAGAGUAGUACUAGGAUGGGUGACCCCCUGGGAAGUCCUCGUGUUGCAACCC
rnacentral:rRNA from 1 species